GCCUUAGAGAUUGAGUGGGAUUUUCACAGCCCCUGGCAUCCCUCCUCUUCUGGAAAGGUAGAGCGAAUGAAUGGUGAAAUUAAGAAACAACUAACAAAACUUGUGCUGGAAACUAAGUACUUCUGGAAACUUCUUGGGUAAAAUGCUUACCCCUUGCACUGUUAAACAUAUGGACACAGCCCAGAACUGAUGUAGGAAUUUCUCCUUUUGAAAUGCUAUAUGGUAUACCCUAUGACUUGGAAUUGCCACUUGAUCACCCUCAAUUCUAAUUAAGACUUGGAAAGAGACUUCUUUAACACCACGAUGGGGAAGGCCCCUAUGUUGUUUUGCUUACUACAGAAACAGUUGUCUGGACUGCGGAGAAAGGAUGGACACAUGCCAGCCGUGUUAAAGGACCCAUCUGUGACGAGAAGUGGGAGAUUGCUCCAGGAAACAAAGACCUGAAGCUCACUUUGUGACGAACCUGAUAAGUACUGUGGAUUAAGGUAGAGGCUCUCCCCUGAAGAACACUACUGCUGCCGAGAACUAAAACCUCGUAGUUGGCUGCAACCCAACUGACGAGUGAGGCAGAGGAGUGAGUAAGUGGGGAAAGAAAUGGGCCUCAGCCAUUCCUAUCGGUAUUUGGGGGUUCUCGCAGUGAUUUCAUCCUGCAUAGCGACUCAACACCACCCCCACCAACCUUUUAAAUGGACCUUAAGUCGAUUUGAAGAUCAACAGGUUAUUGCAACCCAGGUGAUAAUUAUACCAAGGAUUCUAUACCACCCUGAGGAUUGUAUGUAUACCUAGCACACAGUGGCAAGGCAUCAUCUGGAAAGACGGGAACUGUUCACGGCUCUAACUUUGGCCACCCUAAUAAUCCUGUGGGGACCAGGGUAGCCUCAUUGGUUAAACAAAAUCAAGAAUUUACUUCCUUAUACAUUGCUGUGGAGGAGGACCUGACCAAAUUGAACAAUCCAUCUCGGCCCUGGAAAAUCUAUCAGGCCGUUUUCAGAGGUAGUGUUACAAAAUCGUAGGGGAUUAGAUUUGGUAUUUUUUACAACAGGACGGGCUGUGUGCAGCCCUGAAAGAGGAGUGCUAUAUGUAUACUGAUCACACUGGAGUGGUAAGAAAUACAAUGGCAAGACCCAGGGAAGGGUUGG